rnacentral:lncRNA from 1 species
UAAAACCCUGAGACUCCAAGCCACUACUAUAAAUAACCCUGUAGACUCCCAAGCCACUACUACUAAAUAACCCUGUAGACUCCAAGCCACUACUACUAAAUAACCCCCCUAGACUCCAAGCCACUACAACUAAAUAACCCUGUAGACUCCAAGCAACUACUAAUAAAUAACCCUGUAGACUCCAAGCCCUACUACUACAAAUAACCCUGUAGACUCCAAGCCACUACUCUAAAAUAACCCCCCUAGACUCCAAGCCACUACAACUAAAUAACCCGUAGACUCCAGCCCCUACUACUAAAAUAACCCUGUAGACUCCAAGCCAUUACAACUAAAUACCUGUGACUCCAAGCCACUACUACUAAAUAACCCUGUAGACUCCAGCCACUACUACUAAAUAACCCUGUAGACUCCAACCACUACAACUAAAUAACCCUUAG